CCUACGGGAGGCAGCAGUGAGGAAUAUUGGGCAAUGGGCGAGAGGCUGAACCAGCGAAGUCGCGUGAGGGAUGACGGCCCUAAGGGUUGUAAACUGCUUUUAUACGGGAAUAACGCGCCUUACGUGUAGAGCUUUGCAUGUACCGUAUGAGUAAGGACCGGCCAAUGUCGUGCCAGAAGCCGCGGUAAUGAAGAGGGUGCGGGCGUUAUCCGGAUUUGUUGGGUUUAAAGGGUGCGUCGGCGGUCUGUUAAGUCAGGGGUCAAAGCCCCGGGCUGAACCCCGGCACCGCCGUUGAAACUGGCAGUCUCGAGUUGGAGAGAGGUAUGCGGAAUGCGCGGUGUAGCGGAGAAAUGCAUAGAUAUCGCGCAGAACUCCGAUUGCGAAGGCAGCAUGCCGGCUCCACACUGACGCUGAGGCACGAAAGCGUGGGUAUCGAACAGGAUUAGAUACCCUGGUAGUC
rnacentral:rRNA from 1 species